UACGUAGGGCGCAAGCGUUGUCCGGAAUUAUUGGGCGUAAAGAGCUCGUAGGCUGCCUGUUGCGUCCGCUGUGAAAUCCCGGGGCUCAACCCCGGGCCUGCAGUGGAUACGGGCUGGCUAGAGGCAGGCAGGGGAGAACGGAAUUCCUGGUGUAGCGGUGAAAUGCGCAGAUAUCAGGAGGAACACCGGUGGCGAAGGCAGCCCCCUGGGUCGAUACUGACGCUCAUGCACGAAAGCGUGGGGAGCAAACAGG
rnacentral:rRNA from 1 species